GACGAACGCUGGCGGCGUGCCUAAUACAUGCAAGUCGAGCGAUGAAGCUUGGUGCUUGCGCCAAUUUGAAGAGCAGCGAAAGGGUGAGUAACGCGUGAGGAAUCUGCCUUUUAGCGGGGGACAACAUUUGGAAACGAAUGCUAAUACCGCAUAACAACUUUAAACAUAAGUUUUAAGUUUGAAAGAUGCAAUUGCAUCACUCAAAGAUGAUCCCGCGUUGUAUUAGCUAGUUGGCGAGGUAAAGGCCCACCAAGGCGAUGAUACAUAGCCGACCUGAGAGGGGGAUCGGCGCCCUUGGGAAUGAGACGCGCCCCAGGACCCUAGGGGAGGCAGAAGUAGGGAAACUUCGGCAAUGGACGAAAGUCUGACCGAGCGCCGCCGCGAGAGUGCAGAAGGUUUUCGGAUCGUAAAACUAUGUUGGUAGAGAAGAACGUUGGUGCGAGUGGAAAGCUCAUAUAGUGACGGUAACUACCCAGAAAGCGACGGCUAACUACGUG
rnacentral:rRNA from 1 species